rnacentral:rRNA from 1 species
UGGGGAAUAUUGGACAAUGGGCGAAAGCCUGAUCCAGCCAUGCCGCGUGUGUGAAGAAGGUCUUCGGAUUGUAAAGCACUUUAAGUUGGGAGGAAGGGCAGUAAGCGAAUACCUUGCUGUUUUGACGUUACCGACAGAAUAAGCACCGGCUAACUCUGUGCCAGCCGCCGCGGUAAUACAGAGGGUGCAAGCGUUAAUCGGAAUUACUGGGCGUAAAGCGCGCGUAGGUGGUUCGUUAAGUUGAAUGUGAAAGCCCCGGGCUCAACCUGGGAACUGCAUCCAAAACUGGCGAGCUAGAGUAGGGCAGAGGGUGGUGGAAUUUCCUGUGUAGCGGUGAAAUGCGUAGAUAUAGGAAGGAACACCAGUGGCGAAGGCGACCACCUGGGCUCAUACUGACACUGAGGUGCGAAAGCGUGGGGAGCAAACAGG